rnacentral:rRNA from 1 species
GGCGGACGGGUGAGUAAUAUAUAGGUAACGUGCCCUAGAGAGGGGGAUAACAGUUGGAAACGACUGCUAAUACCCCAUAUGCCUUUAAGACAUAAGUCUGCAAGGGAAAUAUUUAUAGCUCUAGGAUCGGCCUGUACGGUAUCAGCUUGUUGGUGAGGUAAUGGCUCACCAAGGCAAUGACACCUAACUGGUUUGAGAGGAUGAUCAGUCACACUGGAACUGAGACACGGUCCAGACUCCUACGGGAGGCAGCAGUGGGGAAUAUUGCACAAUGGGGGAAACCCUGAUGCAGCAACGCCGCGUGGAGGAUGACACAUUUCGGUGAGUAAACUCCUUUUAUAUAUGAAGAUAAUGACGGUACUAUAUGAAUAAGCGCCGGCUAACUCCGUGCCAGCAGCCGCGGUAAUACGGAGGGCGCAAGCGUUACUCGGAAUCACUGGGCGUAAAGAGCGUGUAGGCGGGUUAAUAAGUUUGAAGUGAAAUCCUAUGGCUCAACCAUAGAACUGCUUUGAAAACUGUUAACCUAGAAUAUGGGAGAGGUAGAUGGAAUUUCUGGUGUAGGGGUAAAAUCCGUAGAGAUCAGAAGGAAUACCGAUUGCGAAGGCGAUCUACUGGAACAUUAUUGACGCUGAGACGCGAAAGCGUGGGGAGCAAACAGGAUUAGAUACCCUGGUAGUCCACGCCC